ACCAAUUCUGGGGGAUAAUCUGUUCCUCUUGGCAUAAUGGCUCGGGCGCAAGAUUCCAAUGUGGCUAUCCUGAUCAAUGUGUUUUUCUAUCCGUACCAUUAGAUCCCGGAAACACCACAGAAAUUC